UUAAACCCAGUUUUGCACCAGCCAAUGGGUGGAUGACAUGUAGGCACUUUAGGAAAAGCUUCCAUGAACUCGCAUGCAUGCUGAUUCCCCCUCUGUUCUUCUGAAAUCUCUCUCCCUCCGAAUCCCUCUCCCUCCCUCCCGCAUCUCUACACGCAUCAUUUUCUUCUCAGAAAAAUACCCCAUCCACGACGCACAACAAUUCACAAACUCAUGCCGGAACGCCCACCACGACUCAUGACGGAAGCUCCACUCGCCGUGACGCACACGACCUGCACUCAUCUUCAAGAUUGACGGAAGAGAUGGGGAGGGAGGGAUAUUUCAGAAGAAAAGAGGGGGAAUCGGCAUGCACGCGAGUUCAUGGAAGCUUUUCCUAGAGUGCCUACGUGUCGUCCAUCUACUGGUUUGGUGCAAAACUAGGUUUGAUACCCAUCCGAUCAGCUUACGCGCACCUCAAUUAAUCUCACAGGACCUUGAAGCUAACGGUCAAGUAAACCUUCAGUAGCUCUGAGGGGAGUCGAACUAGUGAACAUUGGAGAGCACCCAAGGCCUGACCAAUUGAGCUACCCCUCAAGGUUAAAAAAAAAAAAAAAAUUGAUUAAUAUUUGAUAAAUAUCUAUCUAAAGUACUUUUAUAAUUAGUUACAUUGGUGUAUGUUUGGGAUUACGGUGGAAAAUAUAACUUAUAACUUUAAGACUUAUAACUUAAAUAAUAAACUCUAUACUUCAAAAAUUGUCUACUGUUUGAUAAACAUGUAUCUAAAAUAUUUUGAAGUUAGUUACAUUAAGUUUUUGAAAGUAUACAGUUAUAUGCAUGAGUUUUUUUAUAAAAAUUUCAAUUUGGUACUAUUUAAAAAAUUAGACUUUCGACUUUUUUCGGUGAUUUAAAUCACUUUUUAUAAAUUUAUCAAAUAUAUCAUUUUUUUCUUUAAAAUAGCUUUUAAAAAAUUAAAAGCACUUUUUAAGCUUUCAAACUCAAUCCCAAACAGGUUCUAAGCAUUUAAAUAUUAAAAGUCUCAUUAUUUUAGGUGUAGUUUAGAUAAUAAAACGAGAUGAGAUGGUUUUAUAUGAAAGUUGAAAAUUGAAUAAAAUAUUGUUAAAAUAUUUUUUUAAUAUUAUUAUUGUUUUGAGAUUUGAAAAAGUUAAAUUGUUUAUUAUAUUUUAUAUAGAAAUUUGAGAAAAUUAUAAUAAUGAGAUGAGAUGAAAUUAUUUAUGUAUUCAAACUAAGUCUUAGUGAAUUAAUUUGUGAAUUAUGCCAGCUAAAAGAAAGGAGAUUUAUUAUUUAUUUGACUAAAUAUAUCAAGAAAAAUCUUAUUUAUAAGUUUUUGUAUAUAAUGCAUUUAUUAAAGUGUUUAUAUCAUAUGAUUUAAUUUGAAAAAUAAAUUUAAAAGAGUUUUGUUAUACAUAAACUGGUGUAUUAACACACAACUUAUAGCGGAACAUAUUAUAGCAUUGAAAAAAUAAAUUACCAAUCAUUUCAGCGGUAUGUUGGGUGUAUAAAAAAUAAAAUUUAUAAAUAGGUCUUCUUAUUUUAAAACUUAAAUCUUACAAAUUUAAUUUUAUCAUUUACAUAAUCUAGAUUAUAUGUUCUACACACCAGCUUGAUAAUUGAAUAACUCAUAUAUAUAUUAUUGAACCCAAGGUUUCAAGUUUUGUGUAAUUAUAUAUCCACACAUGAAUUUUGAUGAUAACAAAUGAAUUCAAAGAAUAAAGGAGUUUCAAACUCAAGUUGUUUACACGAUGGAAUCAAGCACAUCAAGGGAACAAGUAUGAGCAAAAAGGGAAUAAGAUCACAUUAAAGUCAUAGAGUAAUGUUGUAAAUCUCUUAAAAAUUCAGAAUUAGGAUUAAGGCUCAAAAUUAAUACUUUAUCAUAAAAUAUUAAAAUAUAUUU